UGAAGUAUAUGAAUUGAAAGAGGAUAUUGGUGUUGGCUCCUACUCUGUUUGCAAGCGAUGCAUACAUGCAACUACCAACAUGGAAUUUGCAGUGAAGAUCAUUGACAAAAGUAAGCGAGACCCUUCAGAAGAGAUUGAAAUAUUGAUGCGCUAUGGACAACAUCCCAACAUUAUUACUUUGAAGGAUGUCUUUGAUGAUGGUAGAUAUGUUUACCUUGUUACGGAUUUAAUGAAAGGAGGAGAGUUACUUGACCGUAUUCUCAAACAAAAAUGUUUCUCGGAACGGGAGGCUAGUGAUAUACUAUAUGUAAUAAGUAAGACAGUUGACUAUCUUCAUUGUCAAGGAGUAAGUUGAGAAAAUGGACUUCUCUUAACUCCAUGCUACACUGCAAACUUUGUUGCACCUGAGGUUCUUAUGCAACAGGGAUAUGAUGCUGCUUGUGAUAUCUGGAGUUUAGGAGUCCUUUUUUACACAAUGUUGGCUGGCUACACUCCAUUUGCUAAUGGCCCCAAUGAUACUCCUGAAGAGAUACUGCUGCGUAUAGGCAAUGGAAAAUUCUCUUUGAGUGGUGGAAACUGGGACAAUAUUUCAGACGGAGCAAAG
rnacentral:sRNA from 1 species